rnacentral:rRNA from 1 species
GGCUCAGGAUGAACGCUAGCGGCAGGCUUAANACAUGCAAGUCAGGGGCAGCGCGAUGGUAGCAAUACAUUGGCGGCGACCGGCGCACGGGUGCGUAACACGUAUGGAAUCUGCCCUGUACUGGGGAAUAGCCCGGAGAAAUCCGGAUUAAUGCCCCAUAACAGACGAAGUGGCAUCACUUUGUCUUGAAAGCUCCGGCGGUACAGGAUGACCAUGCGCACGAUUAGCUAGUUGGUGAGGUAACGGCUCACCAAGGCUACGAUCGUUAGGGGGCCUGAGAGGGUUAUCCCCCACACUGGUACUGAGACACGGACCAGACUCCUACGGGAGGCAGCAGUGAGGAAUAUUGCGCAAUGGAGGCAACUCUGACGCAGCCAUGCCGCGUGCAGGAAGAAGGCGCUACGCGUUGUAAACUGCUUUUACCCGGGAAGAAACCCCUCUACGUGUGGAGGGUUGACGGUACCGGAGGAAUAAGCACCGGCUAACUUCGUG